rnacentral:rRNA from 2 species
UACAGAGGUGGCAAGCGUUGUUCGGAAUUACUGGGCGUAAAGGGCGAGUAGGCGGCCUCCUAAGUCAGACGUGAAAUCCCCCGGCUUAACCUGGGAACUGCGUCUGAUACUGGGAAGCUUGAGUAUGGGAGAGGAAGGUAGAAUUCCAGGUGUAGCGGUGAAAUGCGUAGAUAUCUGGAGGAAUACCGGUGGCGAAGGCGGCCUUCUGGACCAUAACUGACGCUGAUCCGCGAAAGCUAGGGGAGCAAACGGG